rnacentral:telomerase_RNA from 1 species
CCAAGCAUCUCGCCCUUCCAACAGUCCUCUGAUACCACCUUCUGAAAGGAAGGAUGGAAUCAGAACUUAACCCUAAGUAUUUGUUGGUGCUAGUCUUGCGGUCACAGUUGUCCCUCUGGAUUAUUAGAUCCUCGCCGGCAGAGUGACGGUUACAAUGCCGAAAGGUGGCGUGGUCCGAUCUCGGCUUGAAGGUUGAAAGGCUGGGGGGAUAGUCCAGAUGUCGAGAGGCAUGAAACAGAUUUCUCCUAUGAGCCGUUCUGGUGAUACCUCCAUGCGGGGGAGCUCGUCAGGGUCUUCGGCUGGGCACUAUACUCUGAUCAUUACGGGUUGUCUUUGUCGAUGCAAAUACGGAUCGCUCGAAGAGGAGAAGUAACUUGGGUCAGGUCAGGCACUUCCUCGAGAAGUUGUCUUUGGGAUCUGCAUCCAGCUGCUGGAUUGGUCGACGCGGUCUCUAUACACUCUGGCGGCAAUGUGGCUGGGGCUCUUUUGGAAUAUAUGGCUGGGCACAAUAUCCUUUUUGGAAGUCUUCAAACAGACUGUCUCGAUCUCACGUGUUUCCACUUCCUCGCGGUUGUGAUUUGGCCUUGAUCUCACUCGUCCGAACCACUUGUUCUCAGGUGCCGCGAGAUUUCAAGAGCCUCCGAACAGAAACGCGCUGUUUGAGAUGGCCCUUCAACGCACUUCAGCGCUGCGAAAAUUUGACGUAUUGGCUAUGCCCCCAAGUUAGCAUAUUUCAGCUGACCACCCCUUUCAUAUCGUCUGAUGAGAUGGGCUCGCGCGAUUCAGCAGUGUAGACAUCCCGUACCUCUUCUACUCUGCGCUGCUUCGGCAAUAAGGGAAUUACGUCCAACCUCUUCUGCCAUCAGAACUCGCAAUUUAUGCGCAGUCAGCUCACAAGACCAUUGUCGCGGUAACAGCCACAGACUUUGUCACGUAAGUGUAAUCCCGAUCAGCCGCAUCAACUUUCUCCCAGAGGCUAGGUCCUAUGGUGACGGAAGACGCCAACACAUCGUCUCCCAUCCUUGCGAUGCUUGACACACCUCCCUCCCCGUCCCAUCUUAACCAUAGAUGGAAACGGCAGAGAUGACACGCGGCUUUUGUUGAUGUCUUUUGUCCGUCAUUGCCCUGCUUCAGUUUUCAGGCAGAGGAAACAUAAAACUAAUCUCAGAGGGUCCUGCUUAUCACACAGAGAGAAGCUUCGUCGGUUGCAAUUGAGCUGUCUGAGCGUCCUUGAUCUGGUCUCUUGGAUGUCCGGUCUACUGCGGGUUCGAAUCAAGCUGAAGUUAGAAGAACGGGUCAAUCUAUCUGGACAGGUUACAGUAGUAGGAUCAGUCGAUGAGAAUUGCGGAGUGCAAGGGACUAGAUGCUGUGGUAAGAACGUCCUAUCUGACUCAUACUGUAUCCACAGACUUGGUCUACUUCAUAUGGGGAGGAAGGAGAUCACCCGGCGUCCGGGAUGGGACCCAUCUCGAGUUGGAGUCAAAGCUUAGUGCUUGUCUGUCCUGGGUAGCGCAGAGUGGUUUGCUCGACUUUCUAUUCUGAGACCUGCUUCUUCGGUGGUGCUGUGGCGGGUUUUCGACUUGCUUAGGUGUGGGUGUUGCGUUGCUUGGUUGGCCUAUCAAGGGACAGACCCUAUGGUUGGUAGUCCCGGGCUGUCCUCUUUUCUUGUCAAAAAGACUCGAGGCAGCCCCUCCUUUUUCGGGG